rnacentral:rRNA from 1 species
GAUGAACGCUGGCGGCGUGCCUAAUACAUGCAAGUCGAGCGAAUGGAUUAAGAGCUUGCUCUUAUGAAGUUAGCGGCGGACGGGUGAGUAACACGUGGGUAACCUGCCCAUAAGACUGGGAUAACUCCGGGAAACCGGGGCUAAUACCGGAUAACAUUUUGAACCGCAUGGUUCGAAAUUGGAAGGCGGCUUCGGCUGUCACUUAUGGAUGGACCCGGGUCGCAUUAGCUAGUUGGUGAGGUAACGGCUCACCAAGGCAACGAUGCGUAGCCGACCUGAGAGGGUGAUCGGCCACACUAGGACUGAGACACGGCCCAGACUCCUACGGGAGGCAGCAGUAGGGAAUCUUCCGCAAUGGACGAAAGUCUGACGGAGCAACGCCGCGUGAGUGAUGAGGGCUUUCGGGUCGUAAAACUCUGUUGUUAGGGAAGAACAAGUGCUAGUUGAAUAAGCUGGCACCUUGACGGUACCUAACCAGAAAGCCACGGCUAACUACGUGCCAGCCGCCGCGGUAA